rnacentral:rRNA from 1 species
AUAAGCGCACACGGUGGAUGCCUUGGCGGUCAGAGGCGAUGAAGGACGUGGCAGCCUGCGAAAAGUAUCGGGGAGCUGGCAACAAGCUUUGAUCCGGUAAUGUCCGAAUGGGGAAACCCACCCGCUUGCGGGUAUCCUGCAGUGAAUACAUAGCUGCUGGAAGCGAACCUGGUGAACUGAAAUAUCUAAGUAACCAGAGGAAAAGAAAUCAACCGAGAUUCCGUAAGUAGCGACGAGCGAACGCGGACUAGCCCUUAAGCUGGAUUGGUUCUAGGAAAACGCUCUGGAAAGAGCGGCCAUAGAAGGUGAUAGCCCUGUAUCUGAAAGGGCCAUUCCAGUGAAGACGAGUAGGGCGGGGCACGUGAAACCCUGUCUGAACAUGGGGGGACCAUCCUCCAAGGCUAAAUACUACUGACCGACCGAUAGUGAACCAGUACCGUGAGGGAAAGGCGAAAAGAACCCCGGAGAGGGGAGUGAAAUAGAACCUGAAACCGUGUGCGUACAAGCAGUAGGAGCUCCGCAAGGAGUGACUGCGUACCUUUUGUAUAAUGGGUCAGCGACUUACUGUUCGUGGCAAGCUUAACCGUAUAGGGGAGGCGAAGGGAAACCGAGUCUGAUAAGGGCGCAUAGUCGCGGGCAGUAGACCCGAAACCGGGUGAUCUAGUCAUGCCCAGGGUGAAGGUGCGGUAACACGCACUGGAGGCCCGAACCCACUCCCGUUGCAAAGGUAGGGGAUGAGGUGUGAUUAGGAGUGAAAAGCUAAUCGAACCCGGAGAUAGCUGGUUCUCCUCGAAAGCUAUUUAGGUAGCGCCUCAUAUGUAUCCUCUCGGGGGUAGAGCACUGUUAUGGCUAGGGGGUCAUCGCGACUUACCAAACCAUUGCAAACUCCGAAUACCGAGACGGACUGUAUGGGAGACACACGGCGGGUGCUAACGUCCGUCGUGAAAAGGGAAACAACCCAGACCCACAGCUAAGGUCCCAAAUUUUGUGCUAAGUGGAAAACCAUGUGGAAAGGCACAGACAGCCAGGAGGUUGGCUUAGAAGCAGCCACCCUUUAAAGAAAGCGUAAUAGCUCACUGGUCGAGUCGGUCUGCGGGGAAGAUUUAACGGGGCUAAGCACAGAACCGAAGCUUGGGGUGCAUAACUUUGUUAUGCGCGGUAGAGGAGCGUUCCGUAAGCCGUUGAAGGUGGAUUGAGAAGUCUGCUGGAGGUAUCGGAAGUGCGAAUGCUGACAUGAGUAACGAUAAUGCGGGUGAAAAACCCGCACGCCGAAAGCCCAAGGUUUCCUUGCGCAACGUUAAUCGGCGCAGGGUGAGUCGGCCCCUAAGGCGAGGACGAAAGUCGUAGUCGAUGGGAAGCAGGUUAAUAUUCCUGCACCUCGCGUAAGUGCGAUGGAGGGACGGAGAAGGUUAGGUGUACCAGGCGUUGGUUGUCCUGGGGAAAGGCGGUAGGUUUGGAUCUUUGGCAAAUCCGGGAUCCUCUAAGACCGAGCACCGAGACGAGCCUUUAAGGCGAAGUCACUGAUACCACGCUUCCAGGAAAAGCUCCUAAGCUUCAGCUUACGCAGACCGUACCGUAAACCGACACAGGUGGGUAGGAUGAGAAUUCUCAGGCGCUUGAGAGAACUCGGGUGAAGGAACUAGGCAACAUGGCACCGUAACUUCGGGAGAAGGUGCACCCUUUUUGGUGGCUCGUGCGAGCUAUAGCUGAAGAGGGUCGCAGUAACCAGGCCGCUGCGACUGUUUAUCAAAAACACAGCACUCUGCAAACACGAAAGUGGACGUAUAGGGUGUGACGCCUGCCCGGUGCUGGAAGGUUAAUUGAUGGGGUCAGCCGCAAGGCGAAGCUCUUGAUCGAAGCCCCAGUAAACGGCGGCCGUAACUAUAACGGUCCUAAGGUAGCGAAAUUCCUUGUCGGGUAAGUUCCGACCUGCACGAAUGGCGUAACGACAGCGGCGCUGUCUCCACCCGAGACUCAGUGAAAUUGAAAUCGCUGUGAAGAUGCAGCGUUCCCGUGGCAAGACGGAAAGACCCCGUGAACCUUUACUAUAGCUUUACACUGAACGUUGAGUUCGUCUGUGUAGGAUAGGUGGGAGGCUAUGAAACCAUGGCGCUAGCUGUGGUGGAGCCAUCCUUGAAAUACCACCCUGUCGUGCUUGACGUUCUAACCUGGGCCCAUUAUCUGGGUCGGGGACCGUGUAUGGUGGGUAGUUUGACUGGGGCGGUCUCCUCCUAAAGAGUAACGGAGGAGCUCGAAGGUACGCUCAGCGCGGUCGGACAUCGCGCACUGUGUGCAAAGGCAUAAGCGUGCUUGACUGCAAGAUCGACGGAUCAAGCAGGUAGGAAACUAGGACUUAGUGAUCCGGUGGUUCUGUAUGGAAGGGCCAUCGCUCAACGGAUAAAAGGUACUCCGGGGAUAACAGGCUGAUACCGCCCAAGAGUUCAUAUCGACGGCGGUGUUUGGCACCUCGAUGUCGGCUCAUCACAUCCUGGGGCUGUAGUCGGUCCCAAGGGUAUGGCUGUUCGCCAUUUAAAGUGGUACGCGAGCUGGGUUCAGAACGUCGUGAGACAGUUCGGUCCCUAUCUGCCAUGGGCGUUGGAGAUUUGAGAGGGGCUGCUCCUAGUACGAGAGGACCGGAGUGGACGAACCUCUGGUGUUCCGGUUGUCACGCCAGUGGCAUUGCCGGGUAGCUAUGUUCGGAAGCGAUAACCGCUGAAAGCAUCUAAGCGGGAAGCGCGCCUCAAGAUGAGAUCUCCCGGGGCACAAGCCCCCUGAAGGAACCAUGUAGACUACGUGGUUGAUAGGUCAGGUGUGUAAGUACAGCAAUGUAUUGAGCUAACUGAUACUAAUGAUCCGUGCGGCUUGACC